rnacentral:misc_RNA from 1 species
UUGAAAAGAAUUCGUCCUCGAAUUCAGCCCUGCAUCAAUAAAGGAGAAAGAUUAGAAAUAUUGAAUGUAGCACUAACGCUAUACUCACCUAACAGUUCAAUUUUGUAGGCGUUAUUGUUGAUCCGCUCUAACACCUUGAAUGGACCAUCACACCUUGGAUGCAGUUUCGAUUUCCGUUGGUUUGGAAAUCGUUCCUUCCUGAAAUGUGCCCACACUAAGUCACCUAGCUCAAAAAUAAGUACCUCGCGGCCUUUGUUAGCAUAAGAAGCAUAUUGUGCAUUUUUCCUUUCAAUGUAUGCCCUAGCUUGCUCAUGUUAUUUCUUAACCAAUUCAGCCUUUUUCUUACCAUCUAAACUAUC